GUAGGUGGCAAGCGUUGUCCGGGAAUUAUUGGGGCGUAAAGCGCGCGCAGGCGGUUCUUUAAGUCUGAUGUGAAAGCCCACGGGCUCAACCGUGGAGGGUCAUUGGAAACUGGAGAACUUGAGUACAGAAGAGGAAAGCGGAAUUCCACGUGUAGCGGUGAAAUGCGUAGAGAUGUGGAGGAACACCAGUGGCGAAGGCGGCUUUCUGGUCUGUAACUGACGCUGAGGCGCGAAAGCGUGGGGAGCAAACAGGAUUAGAUACCCUGGUAGUCCACGCCGUAAACGAUGAGUGCUAAGUGUUAGGGGGUUUCCGUCCCUUAGUGCUGCAGCUAACGCAUUAAGCACUCCGCCUGGGGAGUACGGCCGCAAAGGCUG
rnacentral:rRNA from 1 species